UUCGAUUAAGUGCUGAGAAAAGAAAUGGAAAACUACUUCUUUAAACCCCGUUUUUGUUUUUGCCAAGGCAGGUUGAUGCAUGUAGUUUGAUAUAUGGGAGGGGUCAGCACCAUUUAGUAGCCUUAGAAUGAGGGGAAGUAGAAUUGUUUAAACGUUGAUUCAAUGUUGUUUUAUCAGAGUCUGAUGUUAAUAUUUUGUGUUUCAGAUUAUUUUUGCCAAUGUUUUGAUCUGAAGGUUUAAAGAACCACUUUUACAAUAUUGGAGAUAUGUAGUGGAAUAAAUGCCUGGAAAGACAAUUAUUGUCUGACAAUAUAAACUAUAAAUUGAAACCGGAAUGCAAUGAUAAGAAAGGGAAAUAUGGAAUAAAUGCCUGGAAAUACAAUAUAAACUAUAAUUUUAAACUGGAAUGCAAUGAUAAGAAAGGGAAAUAAACUAUUGCUAAGUCUAAAGAACCACUGAAGCUGAAGAAUUGAGAUACAACAAUCUUUGACUGACUUUAGAUUGGUGGCGAUCGAAGGUGGACAGCAAGAUCGAAGCUCAGCAAGAUUGAAGAUUGUUCGAAGAAGAAGGAGUUCGCCGUUGACUAAAAGGUUUAUCUGAACAGCUAGUUGUCGAGAUGAAUGCGAAGACGCCCGGCCAAAUUCAAAAUGGCGAUGCCAAAGAAAACCAUCCACCUGGACCGUUCGCAGACCUUUCUGGGCAAGAUUGUUGUGCUGUCUGGUCAAAGUUAAGUAUUUUACUUUGAUGUUUGUGUGCCUUCGGCUAAUUGUUGGCCAGAAAUGACAAAAAGCCAUAUACAAUAUGAAAUAUUCUGCGUACAAGGUUAUCUAAAAUUUCGAACUUAAUUCUGCCUGCAAUGAUGAUAAUCUUUACUGAAAAUUUAUGUCAUGAGCAACUUCCGCACCUAUAGACUGAAGCAGAACUGAACAUUUUGUCAUUAACGUUUAUCUCAACAGCCAGUUAUCAAGACGAACGUCAAGAGAACAGUUGAAAUAGAAAAUAGAAAUCAGUUCAAGACUCGCCGCCGCCGAAUUCAAAUUGGCGAUCCCAUACACGUGGACCGUUCGCGGACCUUUCUGAGCAAGAUUGUUGUGCUGUCUGGUCAAAGUUAAGUAUUUUACUUUGAUGUU